rnacentral:rRNA from 1 species
AUUGAACGCUGGCGGCAGGCUUAACACAUGCAAGUCGAGCGGAGAUGAGGUGCUUGCACCUUAUCUUAGCGGCGGACGGGUGAGUAAUGCUUAGGAAUCUGCCUAUUAGUGGGGGACAACAUUCCGAAAGGAAUGCUAAUACCGCAUACGUCCUACGGGAGAAAGCAGGGGAUCUUCGGACCUUGCGCUAAUAGAUGAGCCUAAGUCGGAUUAGCUAGUUGGUGGGGUAAAGGCCUACCAAGGCGACGAUCUGUAGCGGGUCUGAGAGGAUGAUCCGCCACACUGGGACUGAGACACGGCCCAGACUCCUACGGGAGGCAGCAGUGGGGAAUAUUGGACAAUGGGGGAACCCUGAUCUAGCCAUGCCGCGUGUGUGAAGAAGGCCUUAUGGUUGUAAAGCACUUUAAGCGAGGAGGAGGCUACUGAGACUAAUACUCUUGGAUAGUGGACGUUACUCGCAGAAUAAGCACCGGCUAACUCUGUGCCAGCCGCCGCGGUAAGAC